rnacentral:rRNA from 1 species
AGGGUUUGAUUAUGGCUCAGGAUGAACGCUAGCGACAGGCCUAACACAUGCAAGUCGAGGGGCAGCAUUAAAGUAGCAAUACCUUAGGUGGCGACCGGCGCACGGGUGAGUAACACGUAUGCAAUCUACCCGCUACACGGGGAUAGCCCGUCGAAAGACGGAUUAAUACCCGAUAACACAAUCUAUUCGCAUGAAUAGCUUGUUAAAGAACUUCGGUAGCGGAUGAGCAUGCGCUCCAUUAGGUAGUUGGUGAAGUAACAGCUCACCAAGCCAACGAUGGAUAGGGGAACUGAGAGGUUUAUCCCCCACACUGGUACUGAGACACGGACCAGACUCCUACGGGAGGCAGCAGUGAGGAAUAUUGGUCAAUGGACGCAAGUCUGAACCAGCCAAGUCGCGUGAAGGAAGACGGUCCUACGGAUUGUAAACUUCUUUUGUACUAGAGUAAAACGGGGUAUGCAUACCCCCUUGCAAGUACAGUACGAAUAAGCAUCGGCCAACUCCGUGCCAGCAGCCGCGGUAAU